GAGUUUGAUCCUGGCUCAGAUUGAACGCUGGCGGCAUGCCUUACACAUGCAAGUCGAGCGGCAGCGCGGGGGCAACCCUGGCGGCGAGCGGCGAACGGGUGAGUAAUACAUCGGAACGUGUCCUGUCGUGGGGGAUAACCAGUCGAAAGAUUGGCUAAUACCGCAUGACCUCGUAAGAGAAAAGCGGGGACCGUAAGGCCUCGCGCGACUGGAGCGGCCGAUGUCGGAUUAGCUAGUUGGCGGGGUAAAAGCCCACCAAGGCGACGAUCCGUAGCUGGUUUGAGAGAACGACCAGCCACACUGGGACUGAGACACGGCCCAGACUCCUACGGGAGGCAGCAGUGGGGAAUUUUGGACAAUGGGGCAACCCUGAUCCAGCCAUGCCGCGUGUGUGAAGAAGGCCUUCGGUUGUAAG
rnacentral:rRNA from 1 species